AGAGUUUGAUCCUGGCUUAGAACGAACGCUGGCGGCGUGCUUAACACAUGCAAGUCGAACGCGAACGCCCUUUGGGGUUAGUAGAGUGGCGCACGGGUGAGUAAUGAAUAGGAACGUACCUAUUGGUGGGGAAUAACUUCGGGAAACCGGAGCUAAUACCGCAUAAGGUCGAAAGACGAAAGGAGGCCUAUUUUUGGAAGCUUCCGCCGAUAGAUCGGCCUAUUUCCCAUUAGUUUGUUGGUAGGGUAAUGGCCUACCAAGGCUAUGAUGGGUAGCUGGUCUGAGAGGAUGAUCAGCCACACUGGAACUGAGAUAUGGUCCAGACCCCUAUGGGAGGCAGCAGUGGGGAAUAUUGCAUAAUGGGCGAAAGCCUGAUGCAGUAACGCCGCGUGAGUGAAGAAGGCUUUUGGGUCGUAAAGUUCUUUCAGCUGGGAAGAAGGGUACUUUGAUUAAUUGCUUAGUACUUGACGGUACCAGAAGAAGAAGCACUGGUUAAUUCCGUGUUAGUAGUUGUGGUAAUACGGAAGGUGCAAGCGUUGUUCGGAUUGACUGGGCGUAAAGAGCGCGUAGGCUGGUUUGUAAGUUGGAUGUGAAAGUCCCGGGUUUAACCUGGGAUGUGCAUUCAAAACUACAAAUCUUGAAUGCUUGAGAGGUUAGUGGAAUUCCUGGUGUAGGAGUGAAAUCCGUAGAUAUCAGGAGGAACAUCGGUGGUGAAGGCGACUAACUGGCAAUGCAUUGACGCUGAGGCGCGAAAGCGUGGGGAGUAAACAGGAUUAGAUACCCUGGUAGUCCACGCUGUAAAUGAUGGAUACUAGGUGUUUGGGGAGUUAACCCCCUGAGUACUAAAGUUAAUGUAUUAAGUAUCCCGCCUGGGGAGUACGGUCGUAAGGCUAAAACUCAAAGGAAUUGACGGGGGCCCGCACAAGCGGUGGAGUAUGUGGUUUAAUUUGAAGUAAUGUGCAGAACCUUACCUAUUUUUAAUAUCCCGGGACAACCACAGAGAUGUGGUUUCCUCUUUGGAGGCUCGGUGAUAGGUGCUGCAUGGCUGUCGUCAGCUCGUGUCGUAAGAUGUUUGGUUAAGUCCAAAAACGAGCGUAACCCCUGUCCUUAGUUACCAUUAUUAAGUUGGGGACUUUAGGGAGACUGCCGGUGUUAAACCGGAGGAAGGCGGGGAUGACGUCAAGUUUUCAUGGCCCUUACGGGUAGGGCUACACACGUACUACAAUGGCAGAAAUAAACCGUUGCGAGACCGUGAGGUGGAGCUAAUUGGUAAAAUAUUGUUUUAGUCCAGAUUGGAGUCUGCAACUCGACUCCAUGAAGUUGGAAUCGUUAGUAAUCGCUGAUUAGUAAGCAGCGGUGAAUACGUUCCCGGGCCUUGUACACACCGCCCGUCACACCACGAGAGUGGUCAUAACCAGAAGUGAGUCAGCCAAUUUUUGGGAGGCAGCUUACCAAGGUUGUGGUCGCGAUUGGGGUGAAGUCGUAACAAGGUA
rnacentral:rRNA from 1 species